CGAGCGCACCCUUGUCCUCAGUUACCAGCACGUUAUGGUGGGCACUCUGGGGAGACUGCCGGUGACAAACCGGAGGAAGGUGGGGACGACGUCAAGUCAUCAUGGCCCUUACGGCCAGGGCUACACACGUGCUACAAUGGUGCAUACAGACGGUCGCCAAGCCGCAAGGUGGAGCUAAUCUGAGAAAGUGCAUCGUAGUCCGGAUUGGGGUCUGCAACUCGACCCCAUGAAGUCGGAAUCGCUAGUAAUCGUGAAUCAGAAUGUCACGGUGAAUACGUUCCCGGGCCUU
rnacentral:rRNA from 1 species